rnacentral:rRNA from 1 species
UACGAGGGGGGCGAGCGUUGUUCGGAUUCAUUGGGCGUAAAGGGUGCGUAGGUGGCGCUGUAAGUCAGGUGUGAAAUUUCGGAGCUUAACUCCGAAACUGCAUUUGAUACUGCGGUGCUUGAGGACUGGAGAGGAGACUGGAAUUUACGGUGUAGCAGUGAAAUGCGUAGAGAUCGUAAGGAAGACCAGUGGCGAAGGCGGGUCUCUGGACAGUUCCUGACACUGAGGCACGAAGGCCAGGGGAGCAAACGGG